GCAAGAGGGCGACCUGGAGCAAAUCCCAAAAAUAACGUCCCAGUUCGGACUGCAGUCUGCAACUCGAUUGCACGAAGCUGGAAUCGCUAGUAAUCGCGAAUCAGAAUGUCGCGGUGAAUACGUUCCCGGGUCUUGUACACACCGCCCGUCACACCAUGGGAGUCGGAAAUGCCCGAAGCCGGUGACCCAACCAAAAGGAGGGAGCCGUCGAAGGCAGGUCUGAUAACUGGGGUGAAGUCGUAACAAGGUAUC
rnacentral:rRNA from 1 species